GACGAACGCUGGCGGCGUGCUUAACACAUGCAAGUCGAACGGUAAGGCCCUUCGGGGUACACGAGUGGCGAACGGGUGAGUAACACGUGGGUGAUCUGCCCUGCACUUCGGGAUAAGCCUGGGAAACUGGGUCUAAUACCGGAUAGGACCACUGCCUGCAUGGGUGGUGGUGGAAAGAAUUUCGGUCAAGGAUGGACUCGCGGCCUAUCAGCUAGUUGGUGAGGUAACGGCUCACCAAGGCGACGACGGGUAGCCGGCCUGAGAGGGUGACCGGCCACACUGGGACUGAGACACGGCCCAGACUCCUACGGGAGGCAGCAGUGGGGAAUAUUGCACAAUGGGCGCAAGCCUGAUGCAGCAACGCCGCGUGAGGGAUGACGGCCUUCGGGUUGUAAACCUCUUUUAGCAGGGAAGAAGCGAAAGUGACGGUACCUGCAGAAAAAGCACCGGCUAACUACGUGCCAGCCGCCGCCGUAA
rnacentral:rRNA from 1 species